rnacentral:rRNA from 1 species
UAAAACUAGCAGUUCAAGUGGUAGCCACAAUUAUUGGGCUUAAAGCGUCCGUAGCCGGUCUAGCAAGUUCUCUGUGAAAUCCUUGGGCCUAACUCAAGGGCUUGCAGAGAAUACUACCAGGCUAGGAGUUGGGAGAAGUUGAGGGAACUACCAGGGUAGCGGUGAAAUGCUAUAAUCCUAGUAGGACCAUCAAUAGCGAAGGCACUCAACUAGAACAAGCUCGACGGUGAGGGACGAGAGCUAGGGGAGCAAACCGGAUUAGAUACCCGGGUAGUCCUAGCCGUAAACGAUGUGGACUGAGUGUUCCCCGAACUUAGGGUUCGGGGAGUGCUGAAGGGAAACCGUUAAGUCCACCGCCUGGGGAGUACGGUCACAAGGCUG